CAUAGAAAAUAGCAAACUAAUUGAAAAAUUAGGACGCAAAGCCACCGGCCUACGUUUGUAGAAUAAGGCAGCGGGGUCACCUAU
rnacentral:ncRNA from 1 species